ACAGCUCACACAAGGGGCACAUGGGCCAUGCCCCAUCAGUAGCUUCCAUGUACAGCAAGGAAAAUGAGUGGAGAUUUGAUUAGGACAUCAGAGUGUUGUGAGCUGUCACGCCUGCAAAGACAGGUUUGAUCUUUUGCUGGCUGAGAUGUACUAGUCUCAGAGAUAAAGAAAGAGGCUAGGAUGUGAAGGAGGGUGGCCAGCAAAAUCCACACCGACUGGAAAGAGGACGUGCAAGCGACUGCAUGGGGUACCAUGUAAGACAGUGCAGGCAGUCACUGCCCCUGAGGCCUUGGUGUGGAGGUGCCUGUGUCAGCAAGUGACAGGGGUUACAUAACAGCAGUGCUUGGACUCAGUACUCACCAGGCUAUUGGACUCAGUACUCACCAGGCUAUUGGACUCAGUACUCACCAGGCUAUUUACACGUUUACCUCAGCUUCUGCUCUGUCCACAGCCAUGAAAGCAAGCUUACGGUUUAAACGCUGUGAAGAGACUCCAUGACCAACG